UACGUAGGUGGCAAGCGUUGUCCGGAAUUAUUGGGCGUAAAGGGCGCGCAGGCGGUUUCUUAAGUCUGGUGUGAAAGCCCACGGCUCAACCGUGGAGGGUCAUUGGAAACUGGGGGACUUGAGUGCAGAAGAGGAGAGCGGAAUUGCGCGUGUAGCGGUGAAAUGCGUAGAUAUGUGGAGGAACACCAGUGGCGAAGGCGGCUCACUGGUCCGUAACUGACGCUGAGGCGCGAAAGCGUGGGGAGCAAACAGG
rnacentral:rRNA from 1 species